rnacentral:tRNA from 1 species
GCAGUGGUGGUUUAGUGGUAGAAUUCUCAUUUUCCAUGUAGAAGACCUAGGUUCAGUUCCCAGCCAGUGUG